CUCAGGAGGGUGUGGUCCCUCACCCUAGAUUGUGAAAGGGUGCAGGCCAGGCUGAGGGACCCCACUGGUGCAAG
rnacentral:pre_miRNA from 1 species